AAAAGCGCAUAUGCUGUGAGCUCGAUGAGUAGGGCGGGACACGUGGUAUCCUGUCUGAAUAUGGGGGGACCAUCCUCCAAGGCUAAAUACUCCUGACUGACCGAUAGUGAACCAGUACCGUGAGGGAAAGGCGAAAAGAACCCCGGCGAGGGGAGUGAAAAAGAACCUGAAACCGUGUACGUACAAGCAGUGGGAGCACCCUUUUGGGUGUGACUGCGUACCUUUUGUAUAAUGGGUCAGCGACUUAUAUUCUGUAGCAAGGUUAACCGAAUAGGGGAGCCGGAGGGAAACCGAGUCUUAAUUGGGCGUUAAGUUGCAGGGUAUAGACCCGAAACCCGGUGAUCUAGCCAUGGGCAGGUUGAAGGUUGGGUAACACUAACUGGAGGACCGAACCGACUAAUGUUGAAAAAUUAGCGGAUGACCUGUGGCUGGGGGUGAAAGGCCAAUCAAACCGGGAGAUAGCUGGUUCUCCCCGAAAGCUAUUUAGGUAGCGCCUCGUGAAUUCAUCUCCGGGGGUAGAGCACUGUUUCGGCUAGGGGGCCAUCCCGGCUUACCAACCCGAUGCAAACUGCGAAUACCGGAGAAUGUUAUCACGGGAGACACACGGCGGGUGCUAACGUCCGUCGUGAAGAGGGAAACAACCCAGACCGCCAGCUAAGGUCCCAAAGUCAUGGUUAAG
rnacentral:rRNA from 1 species